GGAGGGGUGGUGCCCUAAUGGUUAGCACGUUGGACUGCGGAUCGAGCGGUCUGGGUUCGAGCGCUAAGACUCUCGCA